rnacentral:lncRNA from 1 species
CUGUGAAGUCACUUGGUUAGAAGUUGAACCUAUAACCUUGAGAAACACGGUUCGAGACUUGGCACCGAGAUAGAGGAAGAGAGAUAAAGAAGUGAAAUAUGAGGUAUUUCAAAAUACCUCUCUUUUUUACUUUUUUACUAUAUUUACAUUUGUAGUGUUGUUUUUAUUCUUAAACAAUAAUAAAAAUAUCAAUUAAAUUCAAAUAAUAAAUAAUAAUGUCAUGUUUAUUUACAAGCAUAAUUUUUUUUAUACAUUCAACAAAUGGAAUCAUUUCAAUAAGCCACUUUUAAAAAUCUACAAAUAUCUACUUGAU